ACAAAUUCUUAAAAUCACACGUGCACCACCUAAAUCAGGGCCUGAAAGACUUUCAUUUUCAGUGAGUGUGCAGAAUGUGUCCCUUGGCAGGCUGAUGGGGAGGGGUGAGCUGGAGCUCCCUGUGUGCAUACCACUGUCACAGGGGCAUCGUCAGAAAUGUCAAAUUCCAGCAACCCCCGUGCAGUCCCUCAGGCCUUGAAGAUUUCUUUAUCCAACACGGACUCUUCUUUUUUUUUUUUUUGAGGGUCUGUCACGGAGAUUUAUGAAUCUGAUCUAUUGGGCAGCAGCCAAGUACUCUGUGGUAAUUAUUCUGAGAUAAAACUUUGUAUUAGCUGCAGCCUGUCUGCUCUGGGUGUGACAGAGCUAUUCUCCCAUUUCUUCAAGUUUGCCACCUGGGAAGCUUUUUUCAGCAAUAAAUAGUCAUGAGCUGCUAUUCUGGAUGCAUGUGGUUGGUUUCAGAGCUGUGUGACAGGUUAAAAACAAAUAAAAAUAACCUUUCGUCUCAAAGAACAUGUUUCUGAUCUCUGCUGGCUCUCGGCGAGGGGGAGCGGGAGCGAGAGGGGCCGGCGGGGCUGGGAGAGCCCCAACUCUCCGUGCGCUCAAGUCAGCAGCUCCAUCUCUCUCUCUCUCUCUCUCUUUUUGAUGCUAUACUGUAAAUUUAUUUCACCUCGGAGAGUAAACAGAUAUAUUGCAACCCCAAGGGUUCAUGGGUAGUGUAUUUACAAAGGGAAGGCGCAGCAAGCCCCCUCUGUGCCAUUUCCAUUAAUGAGAGCGGUCAUUAAGUAAAUGAGACAUUGCCUUUAGCAGGCUUAAGAGUUCACACACUAAGGAGUAUCAGAUAUUUAAUUGAAACCAACAACCCGUCUUACACGCGUGUUACUGGUGUAGGGAAGUGGGCUGCCCUCCAAGAACUCUCCCCCCACAACCUCCCCCAUGCAAAUUUCAUGAUUGGUUUCCGUGAUGUCAUUUUGCAAAGGGGCAGACAAUAGCUGUGGGGAAAGGUAAGUCAAUAUUAUGUUCUUUCGCUGACAAAGGCAGAUAAUGCUGGCUUUUUUCUUUUUUUUUUUCCUUUUCCUCUUUUUUUUUUUUUUCCUCCCUUGGAUUGAGACAGAGGGGAAAGGCUUUCGGAGCACACAGUUGAUGUAAACAGACGCAGGCGUUUCGCUUUUAGAGCACGAAGGCUGGGUUGUUGUUUUGAAAAUUGCACUGGAGAACCGAGGGGAUUUUUAUGAUGAUCAUCAUGCUCCUAGGUCCAUCUUUGCUCGCUCGCUCUCUCGCUGGCUGCGAGACGCUAGUGGACAUAUUCUGCUUCUGACUGAAAAGAGCUUGAAUAAGACGAGGAAGGAGGAGAUUUAA
rnacentral:lncRNA from 1 species